rnacentral:rRNA from 1 species
AGCGAACGCUGGCGGCAGGCCUAACACAUGCAAGUCGAGCGGGCGUCGCAAGACGUCAGCGGCAGACGGGAGAGUAACACGUGGGAACGUACCCUUCGGUUCGGAAUAACCCAGGGAAACUUGGGCUAAUACCGGAUACGUCCGUAAGGAGAAAGAUUUAUCGCCGAAGGAUCGGCCCGCGUCCGGUUAGCUAGUUGGUGGGGUAAUGGCCCACCAAGGCGACGAUCGGUAGCUGGUCUGAGAGGAUGAUCAGCCUCACUGGGACUGAGACACGGCCCAGACUCCUACGGGAGGCAGCAGUGGGGAAUAUUGGACAAUGGGCGCAAGCCUGAUCCAGCCAUGCCGCGUGGGUGAUGAAGGCCCUAGGGUUGUAAAGCCCUUUCGGCGGGGAAGACAAUGACGGUACCCGCAGAAGAAACCCCGGCUAACUUCGUGCCAGCAGCCGCGGUAA